rnacentral:piRNA from 3 species
UGCUUGAACGGAACCCGGUGCUCGACC